rnacentral:rRNA from 1 species
ACAACAGGUGGAGCCUGCGGUUUAAUCGGACUCAACGCCGGGAAACUCACCAGAUAAGACAGCUGAAUGAUAGUCGGGCUGAAGACUCUACUUGACUAGCUGAGAGAGGUGCAUGGCCGUCGUCAGUUCGUACUGUGAAGCAUCCUGUUAAGUCAGGCAACGAGCGAGACCCACGCCAACAGUUGCCAGCUCGUCCUCCGGGAUGGUGGGGACACUGUUGGGACCGCCUCUGCUAAAGAGGAGGAAGGAAUGGGCAACGGUAGGUCAGCAUGCCCCGAAUUAUCUGGGCUACACGCGGGCUACAAUGGGUGGGACAAUGGGUAUCGACACCGAAAGGUGAAGGCAAUCUCCUAAACCCAUCCGUAGUUCGGAUUGUGGGCUGCAACUCGCCCACAUGAAGCUGGAAUCUGUAGUAAUCGUGUCUCAAAAUGGCACGGUGAAUAUGUCCCUGCUCCUU